GCCAAACUUUCAUUGGCGGGAAACAGUUAUUCAUCCAAGAAGUUUUCUGUACAAAACUUCUUGUCAUCUAAAGGCAGAUGGAAGGAAAUUACUUCAGUCAUCUGCUUCAGUCAUCACAUUCAUGGGAUGUGAGUUCAUAGUAUGCAUGGUAUACCCUAUUGGCAUGUCAAACAGUGCAGCAAGAUAUUGGCCUGCAAUUGAUGGACUCACAGACCUUAUUAUACUUUAAUUUAGAAAAUGAACUGUCAGCCAUAGCAAUAGAGAGAAGACUUCUGAGAUGCUGGCAUUUUGGUCAAUUUGUUAUGAGCUGAACUUAAGGAGUAUGAUUCUCUACAUUGGACUUCCUCUCUAGACUUGCCUAUAAAGUGAAGAAGACUUUAAGAAACCAUAAAUGCCACUGGGUAAGAUAAAAAAACUGGGUUAGACAAAUACCGCUUGCUAUUAAUUUUGGGAGUUUUGCUGCCUCUUAUCCUCUCCUUUUUCCCUGAACUUGUUUUUCCAUAUAUUAUGCAACAAUAUGCUUGUGCAGUUGAUACUUGACUGUUAUCCUCCCUUGUGCAGCUUCCUCAAUUCCAUAUUCAACUUUCAAGAU